ACAGAGUUCAUGCCCUUACGGGUAGAUCUCCCACCCUAUGUUAUUAUUACUUUGUUGCUUAGGCGGGCCGUCAGGCUCACGCCCGGCUACCGGCCCCGGCUGGUAAGCGCCCGCCAGAGGACCCAAAACCCUGAUUAUUAGUGUCGUCUGAGUACUAUAUAAUAGUUAAAACUUUCAACAACGGAUCUCUUGGUUCUGGCAUCGAUGAAGAACGCAGCGAAAUGCGAUAAGUAAUGUGAAUUGCAGAAUUCAGUGAAUCAUCGAAUCUUUGAACGCACAUUGCGCCCCUUGGUAUUCCGAGGGGCAUGCCUGUUCGAGCGUCAUUACAACCCUCAAGCCUGGCUUGGUAUUGGGCUUCGCCACUCACCUGGCGGGCCUUAAAAUCAGUGGCGGUGCCGUCGAGGCCCUGAGCGCAGUAAAUAUCCUCGCUAUAGGGACCCGGCGGUUGCUGGCCAUCAACCCCCAACUUUCUAAGUUUGACCUCGGAUCAGGUAGGGAUACCCGCUGAACUUAA
rnacentral:rRNA from 1 species